CAUAUUCAAACAAUUUAUGAUUUUAGCUUUUAACUUUGUUUCUUUUCAUAUUCAAACAAUUUAUUAUUUUAGCUUUCAACUUUGUUUCUUUUAAUACUGUAAGCCACCUUGGAUCCUUAGGAGAAAGGCAGUAUAUAAACGGAUGGACAGAUGGAUGGACGAACAAACAAGCAAACAAAAGAAGGAGUUUAUAUGGAUGCUGGUGUUUGUUUAUAAGAGAGCUAGAUGCAAGAAAGCAAGAUGGAAUCUGCCACCAUGGACUACACAACUGGGGCCACAUAGCCCAUGACUGGAAGAGAGAAAUUCUUAACUCAUGUGAACAUUUGAAUAUCACGCCAUCAUUCUGGAAUUAUGAAUGUUAGCUUGUCUUUUUCACUGAUUGGUCUUCUGGAUUUAAGGAUGCGAUUCCUUUGAAGUUUGAUUUCAUAAGGAUGAUUCACUCCCUCCUCUGCAAUAUUAGCAUUCUUUCAGCUCUGAUUGUGCAGAUCUGCUUCCAGCCUCAGGGAGCAGAGAAAGGCAAGACUGGGGUGCAGAAAUCAGGCCCAUGAGUGUUGCUGUGCAGGUAAGGAAACACGGAGCAGAUGAAGCAAAGAAAGAAACUUACCAGGGAAACUUGGGACAAUGUUUACUUCUAUUGCCUCCUAGCACCACACAAUAUUUCUCGAGGAAGCUGUGCUUGCCAGGGAACCUGUUUUCUUCAUCAGACGGAGGGAACUGCGCUCUUUCCACUAGGCUCAGUUCCAGAACC
rnacentral:lncRNA from 1 species